UGAGGAAUAUUGGUCAAUGGACGCAAGUCUGACGGAGCAACGCCGCGUGAGUGAAGAAGGAUUUCGGUUCGUAAAACUCUGUUGUUAGGGAAGAAAAAAUGUAUAGUAACUAUAUACAAAAGAGACGGUACCUAACCAGAAAGCCACGGCUAACUACGUGCCAGCAGCCGCGGUAAUACGUAGGUGGCAAGCGUUGUCCGGAAUUAUUGGGCGUAAAGCGCGCGCAGGUGGUUUAGAAAGUCUGAUGUGAAAGCCCACGGCUCAACCGUGGAGGGUCAUUGGAAACUAAUAAACUUGAGUGCAGGAGAGAAAAGUGGAAUUCCUAGUGUAGCGGUGAAAUGCGUAGAGAUUAGGAGGAACACCGGUGGCGAAAGCGGCUUUUUGGCCUGCAACUGACACUGAGGCGCGAAAGCGUGGGGAGCAAACAGG
rnacentral:rRNA from 1 species